rnacentral:lncRNA from 1 species
GGGGGUUUUGAGAGUGCGACGAUUUGACCCAAAAAUUAUGGUUCAAAAAGGGUUUUUGAAAUAAAAAACGGAGUCGCCACUUGGUAAUGAGUUAAGGUGUACCAAAUCACCUAAAAAUGAAUUUUUUAAAGGAAAAAAUGGGAAAGAGUAGUAAGAAACCCCUUUUAAACGACUCCUAGUCCACGUAAACCAAAAAAAAAAGGUUCGGGAGUCACAUUUGACAAAGGGGAAGGCAAGGAUACAAUCCAAGGCACCCCUUUGACCUAGCCAAGGCUAGUUGCGUGAUUUAAUCAAAGAUUUUCUUGUUUUAACCAAAGAAUUUAUUACAUUUGGAUGUGCUACAUGAAAUGCAAAACCCUAGAUUCUAAGAUGUCUCUUGUAAGGCUUUUGGUCCCAACCACAUGAAUUGUGGCGGCCAAUGAAAGAAAACCUUAUAGAGGUCGAUUAAUGCAAAUGAUGAUUCAAGUGCAAGUGUGCAAGUGUAUAAAAAUGUGCAUGUGUGCAAUUGUAUGAAAAUCCAAGUGUUUGUGUGCAAGUGUAUGAAAUAUAGUGAUAAGUGUAUAUAGAUCGUAAUUAAGUGCAAUUUUGUGAAGUAGAAAUCAAAAUUGAACAAUAAGGAAAGGAAAACGUAAUGAGAAAAUGUGAAUUGAAAAAGUGAGUAAGUGAAAAAUUGAGAAUGAAUGAACCUAAAGGAAUGCAUCAGGUCGGGUAUGGGAAUGACUCCUAACUUUUUCGACUUCGAUUUUCCCUUUGAUUAGAAGGCAAAACUAGCGUGCUAAGGCUAUCGAGUAGCCACACUCGCUCGUUUCCCUUAUCAAAAGGGGACACUUCAAGCAAAUGUACCCUAACUAGCAUGAAAUGCAAGACCUAAAGUGAAGGGGAAAGGUUUAGAGGAGCAUGCCAAAUGAUAAAACUAAG